GCCAAAUGUUUGAGUGGGACAUCUUGACGUGAAUAUUCCUGGAGAGUGGAAGAAAGCACAGCUCAGGGCAGGUGCUUCUGUCCCAGAGUGAGACCUGGAAACAGCUGUGGUGUGCUGGAAGGGAUUCUCCAACCUAGAGUCUGAAGAUGUUUAAAGGCUGCUUUUGCCACUCACAAGCUACUUGAUCAGGCGGAUUGCUUCCCCUCAGUUCCUUUAGGAGACAGUGUGCUGUGGAGUACCAGCAUUCUCACUCUGCGGUCUCUCUCUGGGGGAGGAUUAUGCAUUCUUGUCGUGUGGUACUAGGUGUGGCCAUGUGAUUUCUGGCACCCCUCCCUCCUCCUGGGGAAGGAAACGUAUAUCCCUGCCCUAUUGACGUCACGCUUGGCUAUGAGAUUUGCUUUGGCUGGCAAAAGUGAGUACAAGGAAUUGUGCCACUAUUGUAUAGAUGCUUUAAGAGACAUUGCUGGUUUUGCUGUCUCCAUCUCUCUCUGUUAUUGAGUCUCUGAAUAAAGAAGGCAUAGACAAGGGCUGUAGCUGAGGCAUAAGCGAGAAACAAACCUUCAUGGAGGCAAACGCUGAGAUUUUGGGGGUUGUAUGUUGUAACAGCAUUACUUAGGUUAAACAGAUUAAUGCGAUAGGGAAUAAUGUGAUCUACCUGGUGGGCUUUUUAUGAGAACUAUUUGAGAGAAUUAACCGAAAAAUGUAUUGUGCACCUAUAAGGUCCCAGGUACUGUGUGCUAGGUAUAAGGGCCACAGAAUUGUACAGGGCAUGGGCCAUGUCCUUCAAAGAGCUCAUAGUAGAAGAGACAGAGGUUUCUGGAAGUUAUGUUAGUAACAAUGUGUAGUAGAUCUAUGCUUUUGGCAAGGGGUUCAGCCUGGGCCAUCACACAUUCUCAAAUUCAGGAAAACUUCUUGACAUUUGACAUCUCCCAGAAAAUGCGGAAAGAACAUCUCUCCACCAAAGAUUCACCCACUUGCCUUCGAGCACGGACUUGUCGAAUGUUCUUCACUGAAGAUUAUUUGACCAGAUUAACCUUCAGUGGCAGACAGUAAAAAAGACCUUCAAUGACCAGCUGUGAGACUGGAGGCUGGAUGUCUCUCUAAUGAACUCCGGCUCGUGCAGGAGAGAGAACACUUUAAAAACCAAAGCAGGUGAAGGUCCAGGAAUGAUGACAGAAUAGAAGACGCCUUCACUCUUUUCAUUCAAGAAAUGGCAUGCAGGUGGUGUCACUGGAUGGAUCCAGUGGGCAUAUGUGCCAGAGGUGGCAUUGAUGGGGUGGAACUGGAGGCUGGGGUCAUGUCGGUGAAGUGGUGAGGUAGUGACAGGGAGGACAGUUUGCAGAGUUCCUGCUAAUUCUUGUGAGAGCUCCAACAAGGAUGAAGAAAAGGGACCGUAAUCAUGAAAAGUGGCUGCUCCAGGUCCACGUGGUUCAGUAAUGGCCAGAGGAGUGUCUGGGAGUGAGGGCAGCAGUACCUCAUAUCCGCCUGGACAGACGUGGGGGACAUUUACUUGUCAGAAUCUUCAGGAACUAAAGACUGUACAUUCAAUAAAAACAAGUGUGCUUAGAAAUGUAAAUGCA
rnacentral:lncRNA from 13 species